rnacentral:tRNA from 1 species
UUCUAAAAGUAUAUAAAAAGAGGG